rnacentral:rRNA from 1 species
AUUGAACGCUGGCGGCAGGCUUAACACAUGCAAGUCGAGCGGGGUGAUGGUGCUUGCACUAUCACUUAGCGGCGGACGGGUGAGUAAUGCUUAGGAAUCUGCCUAUUAGUGGGGGACAACAUCUCGAAAGGGAUGCUAAUACCGCAUACGUCCUACGGGAGAAAGCAGGGGAUCACUUGUGACCUUGCGCUAAUAGAUGAGCCUAAGUCGGAUUAGCGAGUUGGUGGGGUAAAGGCCUACCAAGGCGACGAUCUGUAGCGGGUCUGAGAGGGUGAUCCGCCAAACUGGGACUGAGACACGGCCCAGACUCCUACGGGAGGCAGCAGUGGGGAAUAUUGGACAAUGGGGGGAACCCUGAUCCAGCCAUGCCGCGUGUGUGAAGAAGGCCUUAUGGUUGUAAAGCACUUUAAGCGAGGAGGAGGCUCUUUUGGUUAAUACCCAAGAUGAGUGGACGUUACUCGCAGAAUAAGCACCGGCUAACUCUGUGCCAGCCGCCGCCGUAA